UACGGAGGGGGCUAGCGUUGUUCGGAAUUACUGGGCGUAAAGCGCACGUAGGCGGCUUUGUAAGUUAGAGGUGAAAGCCCGGGGCUCAACUCCGGAAUUGCCUUUAAGACUGCAUCGCUAGAAUUGUGGAGAGGUAAGUGGAAUUCCGAGUGUAGAGGUGAAAUUCGUAGAUAUUCGGAAGAACACCAGUGGCGAAGGCGACUUACUGGCCCGAUACUGACGCUGAGGCGCGAAAGCGUGGGGAGCAAACAGG
rnacentral:rRNA from 1 species